GCAUCAGAUUUCUCCCUUGAAACGACCCACAAGUUACAACCCAAAAGUUACAGCCCAACCUCUCCUCUCUCACUUCACUUACCAUACGCCUUUUUUCUCACUCUCUCUCCUCAUCAAAUAGCGGAAGUGCGGAACUCAACCUCUCACCGCAACGCCACCAGCAACGUCAUCUCUCUCUUCAUCUCAUCCUCUUUUCACCUUAAACGCUACCAGCACCGUCAUCUCUCUCUUCACCAGCAACACAACGCCAUUAGCGAAGACCAACAACUCAGUGAGGCGAUUUCAAUUAAUGCGAUUUCGUUUUGUUUUUUUGCCAUCAGUCAGUUGUUUUCGUUUGUUUUUUAUUUUAGUUGCGAUUACAAAUCUUUUUUUCGUUUUUUUAGGGUUUAGAAUGAUAGUUACAUGCGAUUUCGAUCCUUUUCUCGUUUUUUUAGGGUUUAGAAGUAUGCUCUGAUUUUUAUUUUCUUUUCGCUAUUUGAUUGAAAUUUCCUUGUGAGAAUUGUGCCCUAUAUUUGUUAUGAAAUUGUUCAAUAUGUUUUUAUUUUUAGUUUUUUUAUGUUGAUAUGUUUUUUUUUUUGUUUAAUGUUUUGGAUUUAUGUCCGUAUACGUUUUUUUAGGGUGAUGUAUGUUGUUGUGUGUGGUGCUUAUGAGAGUUAAACACGUUGGGGCUUAGAUAUGUGACUCUGUGAGAUUAUAGAUAGAUAUGGAGAGCCUUGUAUUUAUCUCACAUACUUCGUUUCAAAGUGCUAGUGCAUUGUUGGUUGUUUUUCUCCCAGUUCCCGUGUUUUCACAUGUGUGUUCUUUAUGAUUUUUGCUUGUCUGUUAUCUUUACAUAAUUAUUCUUGUUUGAUUAAGUAGUGUGCCUUCAAAUAUAACAGUAAGUUAAUAGAAGUCCACAACAGAGUACUAGAUGUGGCCUUUAUUGAAUUCAAGCAUCUAUGAUAGAGCUCAACAUAGGUGAUUGAUUUAUUAAAAUGGGUAAGUUUCAGAAGUAAAAUGGUUGAAGUGUACAACUCAAGAGCAAUUUCAAAGCUGCUAGCCUGCUUAGGAUUUCAUUUUAUGCAAUUGUCGCAUUCUGUACGAUUAUCCAAUUUAGUUCAAUAAUUAAAUCAGUUUAUGAGUGAAUGAUUGUGAUGUAAACGGCAUGAAGUAUUAAAGUAGUGUUUUCCUAGCCAAGGCCAAACAUUUCUGAAGUGGGGUCGUUUUUCCCAUUUUUCUGAAGAGAAGCUUGAGAAACUUGUCUCAGAAGACAGUCCCACUACUAUGGAUGGUGGCGUGCUCGUUUGACUCAGGUUUAAGAGACUUCACUCAUCAGCGACUUAAACGCUACAACUGCCAAAAGUUUUUUAGCAGGGCUUUGUACCCAACAUUAUGAAUGGACAACCGACUGAACUAGGCAAUGCCGGUUUAGGCAUUGAGGAUGAGUCCAGCGGUCAACAAAGGGGGUGUACUUUUUCUUACAGAUCGGAGGAAACCGCUUCAACAUCGAAAAGGAAAGCAGAUAAAGGUUAUAAUAUGGUUUCUUGUAGAGCUUUAAUACAUAAAAUCUUAAGAUACUAGAAUGAAAGAAAGAAUUAGUUUUAACUUUCCAGCUAGCCCUAACUGGCACAUUAUGAUUCUCUAAGCUUAAGGCUUGAUCAUAGAGCAGUUUGAGCUUCACUACGAUACAUAUGACAGGUACACCGUACACCAACACCCCCCUCAAGCUAGCAAGUGCUAAACUAUUACAAACUGGCACGCUGUUGUAUGCACUUCACCAUCUUAAGAUCCCUGAUUCUGCUGCUAGUUUCUUGUCCUCUCAAACAGGUGAUUAGAUGAAUCCUCUGCUAAAUGUUAAGCCUAUAUAACCUUUCCUACACAGAUUAUUUGACAAAUAUAUUACUGGAAUAAUAGGUCAUUAAACAAAAAUAGAUUGACUAAGUAAAUGCACAAAAUAUGACUGAGCUGUGAACCUUGAUAAACUGUGAUAACAGAGACAAACACAGUAAUGUCUAAAUUGAAAUUUUGGACAUUUAAAGCAACAGAAAGAAUGAUAAAUUUUUAUGACCAAGUGAAUUCACCUCUAGCAUCAUAAUUCCUUUGACUUAGAUGUUUCUAACUUUGGUAUCAUUAUAUCUAUUUUUAUUCACAUAGUUAAUAAUAUAUUUUUGUUAGUUUUUCCUAAAUUACAUAAAAAUGCUGGAGAUGAAAUGUUUCAGUUUUGCUCCCUUAAAUGCAUACUGACAACUGGCCUACAAUUUCUCAACCUGAUUUGUACUUCUGAAAUAAUCAAGAAAUAGUUCAUCAGCCAUUUCUGGAUUAGGUUGCUCCAACCGGGAGUAGGAGAGCCUAAAGGUUUCACCCGACAACUCUGAAUGUAUUCUCUCUCUCUCCUGUCUACAGCUUCAAAGAGAAAUCAGAAGGGGUCAUGUGUUACUAAUGGGUCCAGCAUCAGUUCUCUAGAACUGGGAGAAUGAAUUUUCUAUUGGGUUAAUUUUUGUUCAUGUUUUGCUGGUGUAUUUUACUUACAGUUUUUAAUGUAUACAUGUGCUGAACUCAGAGUAAUAAUAGUCUACAGGCUGCUGUGGCAGCUAAUUUUUUUUUAA